GUAUUCAAUGCUAAUCAAUGGAGAAGCAGAAGGAUCCUGAGGAACACCACUUCGAAGAGCCGAGAGCCAUGCAGUUCUCUAGGGAUUAACAUAGCUAAGACCUAGACGACGUGGGAAUCCUGCGAAGAAAAUCCACGUCGGAGUUCUGAAGUUAGGAUCAACAGAUCAAGGUAGGAUCCUGGUGGAGAUCUGGUGAUGUACAAUCAUUCAUGGUGAAGUAAUAGAUGUGUUCCAGUUCUUUAGCGAUCUAAGUGCCUCCUAUGAUUUCAUGCUUUUGCGGGUUUGCUUGUUUUCAAUCGAUGCUAGAUUGCAUAGGAUGUUCAUGUAGUCAUGGUGACUAGAUUUGCAUACCUGAUCUACCGAUGAGUAUGACAUGUUCUUUAUGUUUCUGCCCUUAAAUGGCCUGCACUGAUAGGGGAAUCAUGACAGGGUCUGUUUUUGUGUAACGUAGGGGUUUUUGGGAGUCAAACCGAAGGUGUAGACUUAAAGAGGCUUUUGAUUGAGAAUCGC
rnacentral:lncRNA from 1 species